UGUGACUUCACAAUGCCCCACCUAUAUGAUCUGCCAUAUGAACUAAUGCCAAUGCUGCACACAGUGUGUGUUUACAUUAAAAAGCCUGCAGGGACCAGCCAUAGACACCAGAACCACUUCACUAAGCUGAAGUGGUUCUGUGGACUAUAGUGUCCCUUUAAUGUGAAGUAAAUUAUAGAUUAGUGUCACUAAUAAUAUACUAG